rnacentral:rRNA from 1 species
GGCGAACGCUGGCGGCGUGCCUAAUACAUGCAAGUCGAGCGAGCGGAACUAACAGAUUUACUUCGGUAAUGACGUUAUGAAAGCGAGCGGCGGAUGGGUGAGUAACACGUGGGGAACCUGCCCCAUAGUCUGGGAUACCACUUGGAAACAGGUGCUAAUACCGGAUAAGAAAGCAGAUCGCAUGAUCAGCUUUUAAAAGGCGGCGUAAGCUGUCGCUAUGGGAUGGCCCCGCGGUGCAUUAGCUAGUUGGUAAGGUAAAGGCUUACCAAGGCGAUGAUGCAUAGCCGAGUUGAGAGACUGAUCGGCCACAUUGGGACUGAGACACGGCCCAAACUCCUACGGGAGGCAGCAGUAGGGAAUCUUCCACAAUGGACGCAAGUCUGAUGGAGCAACGCCGCGUGAGUGAAGAAGGUUUUCGGAUCGUAAAGCUCUGUUGUUGGUGAAGAAGGAUAGAGGUAGUAACUGGCCUUUAUUUGACGGUAAUCAACCAGAAAGUCACGGCUAACUACGUG